GUUGACAUCCAAUCCCAUUCGCGUCAUCUCCGAUCUAAUAAACACAAGUUACUGUGGCCGUCGCUGCCAGAUCGGAGGAGGGAAGGGAGAAGAGGGAGCCAGGGCGGGAGGAGAAAAGGGAAAGGAAGAAGAAGGGGAACGCCGUGAGGAGGAGGCGCCGCGCCCAGGCCGGAGCUCUUUGCGCCAUCACCCCCGUCCGCGCCCCGGCUCCGCCACACCACCUCAUGCCGCACCGUCUCGCCGCCCCUUUCGCGCUGCUAGCGCCUCUCGUCCUGGCUCGCGGCGCCCCUCUACCCUGCCGCGGCCCUGUCUCACCAUUUGCCCCAGGGGCGGCAUUCUCGUCCUGGCUCGCGGCGCCCCUCUACCCUGCCACAGCUCCGUCUCACCAUUUGCCCCAGGGGCGGCAUGAACCAGUGGAUGGCGCAGGGGCAGAGCGCCAAAAACAGGAUAGCUUGGCCAUCUGACCUAGAGGGCAAGGCUGGCGGUGCCAUUAUCUAGGACCAGGCUGCAACCAGGUUUCAUCCUAUGUGGGAUAUAUCUGUACUAGAAUCCUAAUCAGUAGAGACAACAACAUCCUUGCAGUCAAGGACUCUGUAGGCGAGGUUGUUAUGGACACCAUGGUCCAGGUGGUCGAAGAUACAGAGUUAUCUGGGGACGAAUCACUUAAGGAAUGGGUUGCAGACUCCUUAGAAGGGGAAGGGAAUAAAACAGAUGAAGGGGACUCAGAAGUCGAUAUAAACUCUCUAUUAUUUGAUCGAUAUGAAGCAGCAAUGAAGGAAGUAAUUGAAGAGAAAUCAGCUAUGCAUGAGGAAGCACUGAAAAGGGUUCAUGAUGAUAUUCUGAAAAUUUGUGUUCUACUUUUCUUCUAGACACGAAAAAGAUGAAACUGUUAGCCUGAAUGUAAUGCAUCAAGUCUAUCAUCAGUUCUCAAUUUAUAUGUCCAGUCAUAUAUAACUAGGUUUCAUUAUUUGUUUCAUCAUUAUUAGGCAUCAGGGUUUGUGUCAUGCAUUCAUCAUUAAUUUUCCCAUGAUGUAAUUUCCUUUGAACUGAAGGUGACAGGUAUUCUGCGGAGUUGGUCUAAUAUGUCUUUGUUGUCUUUCUGUAAUAAUAUAUUUUGUUGAGUGUGAUGCUUGUCUUUUUGAAAGAAUUAGGAAGCCUGGCAAUAUGAUCCAAA